AUUGAACGCUGGCGGCAGGCCUAACACAUGCAAGUCGAGCGGAAGGGGCUUCGGCCCCGAGAGCGGCGGACGGGUGAGGAUAGCGUGGGAAUCUGCCUGUAGAUGGGGGCUAGCCCGGAGAAAUCCGGAUUAAUACCGCAUAAUACCUGAGGGUUAAAGUGGAGGAUCGCAAGACUUCACGUCUACAGAUGAGCCCACGUCAGAUUAGCUAGUUGAUAGGGGAAAGGCCUACCAAGGCGACGAUCUGUAGCUGGCCUGAGAGGGUGGCCAGCCACACUGGAACUGAGACACGGUCCAGACUCCUACGGGAGGCAGCAGUGGGGAAUAUUGGACAAUGGGCGCAAGCCUGAUCCAGCCAUGCCGCGUGUGUGAAGAAGGCCUUCGGGUUGUAAAGCACUUUAAGUUGGGAGGAAGGUUCCAAGGCUAAUACCUUUGGGAAUUGACGUUACCGACAGAAUAAGCACCGGCUAAUUCCGUGCCAGCCGCCGCGGUAA
rnacentral:rRNA from 1 species